rnacentral:rRNA from 1 species
GGUGGUGAAACUCUACCGCGGUAACGAUACUGCAGGGGGAGCCCUGCGGGAAAAUAGCUCGACGCCAGGAU